CAGAUUGAACGCUGGCGGCAGGCCUAACACAUGCAAGUCGAGCGGCAGCACGGGUACUUGUACCUGGUGGCGAGCGGCGGACGGGUGAGUAAUGCCUAGGAAUCUGCCUGAUAGUGGGGGAUAACGUUCGGAAACGGACGCUAAUACCGCAUACGUCCUACGGGAGAAAGUGGGGGAUCUUCGGACCUCACGCUAUCAGAUG
rnacentral:rRNA from 1 species